GUCUUAAGCCAGCACCCUCCCAGUCCCAAACACAGACUAACCUUGUGGGCCAGACAGAAGGCAGCGAUGCCCACAGGCCAAAAACAACACAGCACAGAGAAUACCGCCAGGCCGAGGUGGUCAUGGGGAAGAAGUGGAGAGAGCCGGUCGCCCCCAUCAUCAUCUGAGUCACUGUCACUGGAUAAUGUGUCCUGCAGAUAGGAGAGAGCACAGGUGGUGGUCCUCACCCACCUCCCCAUCGCCCCCGUAGACCAGUGCUUCCCUGGGGCCUUCCCAGAGACUUUUCUGUCCCCUAGAUCCCUUGAAGGGGCGACAGUGGCCUGACUGAGGGUCUCCAGAGAGACCCACCCCCAGGUGAGUUCAUUCUCAAGGGUCCAACUAUGGGAAGAUUGCUCAUAAUCCCUGAGUGAAGACAUCUGCAGUGGGGGCAGGCUUUGCCUUGGGAUGAGAACCUGUAAAGAGUUAAAAGUGCUCCCGUGGUCUGAAUUGUUAGGACAAACCUGCCUGCCAAAAAUGGUUUUAAAGGCAAGUGUGUUUCUAAUCCCAGCAUUCGGGAUGUAGAGGCAGGAAGAUGAGGAGGCUUGCCUGGGUUACAUGAGACCUGUCUGGAGAAAAAAAAUAAUCUAUCACUGAUGUCUCCAGGCAGCUCUGUCAGGAGCAAAAGCUCUGUCAGGAGCAAACCAGAUCCUCUCUGGAUCCUCUAGACCUUCAUGCUAGGUCUCCAAAGAACUGAUCUUUUAAAGUAUUUUUUUCAAACAAAAUGACCAGAUACACAGUCAAAUACACUAGACACAAGUGUCAAACAGGACUCAGAGGUGCAAUACAGAGCAGUCAGAGGCAGUAACACGAUGCUUACUACCCGAAGCAGGCUGUUCUCAACCCCGCGGAUGGACUCGUUUUGAUUGUAAACAUGGUCUUUCUUUGUAGCCCCCGGCUGUUCUUUAAGGCUCUGUGCAGCGUAGUCCAGCUGUCUGAAACCAUUCCCCUGCUUCAGCUUCCUGGGUGUCAGGAUUAUGGGCACAUACUAAGCCUGGUUCCUAAAGACAAAAUCUCUACUAUGUAGUCCUGGCUGUUCUAGAACUCAUUAUGUAGACUGGGCUGGCCUUAAACUCAACAGAGAUCUGCCUACCUCUCUUGGAGUUCUGGGAUUAGAGGUAUGCGCCAAAACCUUUGCUUCAAAUACUCUUUUGAUGUAACUCAGAUGUUUCUCCCCUUGAAUCUGGGCAGGUUUCCAAAUCACUUGACAGAAUAUGAUAAAGUCACUUUACAAGGUUUUUAAAGAAAAGGUGACAAAAAGUCUGGUCCAGAGGACUGAAAUUACAAGUCCUGCCAGGACUAUAGUGAGUUCCAAGUCAGCCUGGGCAAUUCAACAAGACCCUGCCUAAAGUAAAACGGGAAAACCAGGGUGCUGGCACCUGCCUCUUAGCCCAACUCUCGGGAGGUGGAAGCAGGAGGGACAGAAGUUCAUGGUCAUCUUCAAUUACAUGAUGAGUUUGAGGCUAGCCUGGGCUACAUGAAACCAUCUCACAAAAGAGACAAACCAGGUGGAGUGGCAUAGGCCUGUAUUUCCAGCUACUUGGGGCUUGGGAAAAAAGAUGAGUGUGAGCUGAGAAGUUCAGGCUGGCAUGAAUAUCAGACACCGUGUCAAAAGAAGAUAAAUGUCAAAAUGUAAAAAUGAUGUUUCACAAUAUGAGGAAGGAAUAUGACAUAAAAAUGACUUUACUACAGGCAGUGGUGGCACACACUUUUAAUCACAGCACUCAGGAGGCAGAGGCAAGUGGGUCUCUUGAGUCCCAGGACAGCCUGAUCUACACAGAAAAAUCCCAUCUC
rnacentral:lncRNA from 1 species